UGCUGCUGGUGAUGUAAAGCAUUUAAUUAUUAUGACUGAUAUCUGAUUAUUACACAAAAUAUCACCAUCUUUCGGCUGAAGUUGCA